GGAUGAGGUGAUCUGGCUUUGACAUCUAUCACUCCUUUGUCAGCAGGGCUGAUUUCAUCUGACUGAGCUAGUUGGGAAGGUGGCCCCUUCCUGCCUCACUGAUCCUUGUGUGGCCUGCCUCAAGCUGUAUGCUAAGGCAAAGAAGUUGAUCUUCUAAGCUCCAUCUGGGCUCUUCUUUGGGCAAGGGUAGCUGAAAAGCUGUCAUUUUAAUGGAAACUCUGAACUUGGAAUGGCAGUUUGCAGCAGCCCAAAUACCUAUUUUUGUAGCUGAGAAGAGACUCUGACAUGCAGACUAU
ensembl:misc_RNA 7SK 7SK RNA